CUUUCUCCCGCCGCUUCUCCUCCACCGUGGCCCCCUACCAACGAUUUCUCUCCUUUCCUCUCUCUCUACGUUCGUUCGACGACGUCUUCGCGCGCGGAAGACAGCGAGAGAGAGAAAGAGAGGAAGUUCAUGCGUGCGGCCGGAGCGACGGAGAAACGGACAGAGAAAGAUGAAAGCCUCUUCGCUAGCGAUAGGAUUAACUCGACGCGCAGAAUCUUCGUUACCUACUCAACUUUUUUGAGGUUAGGAUCUUAGACGCGAUCUUUUUUGACCGCUGGAGGCCAUAUUUUUUAACCGUCAUAGAUCUUGAGAAGUUGUAAUACAAGAAAAGAAGGAAUAUUUGUGUAUUAAUACGUAUUUGUAGUGUUAUCCUUGAAGAGGUUAAUUCAUAACUGGUCAUUCUGGCGCGAUGAACGUGCAACAAAUUUUCUGAAAUUUAUAGGUAAAUUAAAGCAGUGGAAAAGAAUGAUAUUGCGAAAUGUAUUUAUUGCUGCAUCUGAAAACUAGUUGAGUUGUAUUCUUUAUAUAGGUAAAGUUAUUGAGACUAAUAGUGGAUAUACUACCAGUUUAAUUUGAAUUACGUGAUUCGUUUAAUUAAAGCUGUCGUUAGCGUUUAUGGGAAAAGCAUCAGUUGAAAUAAAUAAUUGGUAGCAGAUAAUUAUAGAUGUAGUAUCUACAUAUGUAAGAAUGUACAUACAUAUUCAUUAUAAAAUAUGAGGUACAUAUGGUACAGUGUGAAUCAUGAUUUGAAACAUAUAAGUUUGUGAUUUAUAAAUGUAAAAUUUACUUGUUAAGUAAAG